GAUGAACGCUGGCGGCGUGCCUAAUACAUGCAAGUCGAGCGAACAGACGAGGAGCUUGCUCCUUUGACGUUAGCGGCGGACGGGUGAGUAACACGUAGGUAACCUACCUAUAAGACUGGGAUAACUUCGGGAAACCGGAGCUAAUACCGGAUAAUAUUUCGAACCGCAUGGUUCAAUAGUGAAAGACGGCUUUGCUAUCACUUAUAGAUGGACCCGCGCCGUAUUAGCUAGUUGGUAAGGUAACGGCUUACCAAGGCAACGAUACGUAGCCGACCUGAGAGGGUGAUCGGCCACACUGGAACUGAGACACGGUCCAGACUCCUACGGGAGGCAGCAGUAGGGAAUCUUCCGCAAUGGGCGAAAGCCUGACGGAGCAACGCCGCGUGAGUGAUGAAGGUCUUCGGAUCGUAAAACUCUGUUAUUAGGGAAGAACAAACGUGUAAGUAACUGUGCACGUCUUGACGGUACCUAAUCAGAAAGCCACGGCUAACUACGUG
rnacentral:rRNA from 1 species